rnacentral:rRNA from 1 species
UACGUAGGGCGCAAGCGUUGUCCGGAAUUAUUGGGCGUAAAGAGCUCGUAGGCGGUCUGUUACGUCCGCUGUGAAAACCCAGGGCUUAACCCUGGGCUUGCAGUGGAUACGGGCAGACUAGAGGCAGGUAGGGGAGAAUGGAAUUCCCAGUGUAGCGGUGAAAUGCGCAGAUAUCAGGAGGAACACCGAUGGCGAAGGCAGCCCCCUGGGUCAAGAUUGACGCUCAUGCACGAAAGCGUGGGGAGCAAACAGG